rnacentral:rRNA from 1 species
CCCUUAGAUGUCCGGGGCUGCACGCGCGCUACACUGAAGGAAUCAGCGUGCUAAAACCAUUGUCGAAAGGCAUUGGUAAACCCAUUAAAAUCCUACGUGAUUGGGAUCGGGAAUUGCAAUUAUUUCCCUUGAACGAGGAAUUCCCAGUAAGUGUGGGUCAUAAGCUCGCGUUGAUUACGUCCCUGCCCUUUGCACACACCGCCCGUCGCUGCCCGGGACUGAGCCGUUUCGAGAAAAGCGGGGACUGCUGCUGUCGGGGCUUUCGGGCCUUGGCUUCGGUGGAAACCGCUUUAAUCGCAGUGGCUUGAACCGGGCAAAANUCGUAACA